GUGUUCACUAUGACCACACAAACAUUAAAACUGAAACAAUGCAUGAAAGUUUAGCAUGACCCUUGUGCAAGGAUAAAAGAAAUGUGGGAAGGAACCCAUAAUUUU